GGGAGUACAGAUGUUCACUGUUGAAAACAGACUUUUUGACGACCUGGGACAUUCAUCCAUUUACCCGUUAUAUCCUGGAACUUGAGGCCAUGAGAUCAAGAAGCAAGCCAAAGCCCCUAAGGGUGGUCUUGGCAGACAGGAGAGCACAUGACAGGGCUCUGAGCUCCCUAGGUAGAGGAAUAGAGGCUUAGAGCUUAGAUGUGCCUGGCUGAACUGUGUUCAUCCUAAGUUCUUACAGCAAAACUCCAGUCCGCAGGACCAGAGGUGACUGCAGUUAGACGAUCAGGGUAAAAUGUUCUAACUGGGCAGGAUCAGGUAUGGGAGGAAAUGAGGAUGAUAUAUAGAUGGUCAGGAAUUUGAAUGGAGGUGUAUAGCAAUGGGGGAUGGGGAGCUGGGGUUAGCCACCAGCAAGUUCCAGAUGCCAGGACCCAACAAGGAUGAGAUUAGCUGAAAUGCCCAACAAAGGGGAAGGAGAACCUGUAGAGAUCAUAUCCAGAGGUUAGGCAAGGCCCCCAGUAGGGGAUGGGGCCACCCACCCUUCUCAUAAUUUUACCCCAGAAUUGCUCCUGUUUAAAGGACUUACAGAGACAAAGUGUGGAGCAGGAAGGAAAGUGUAAAAGAAAGACCAUCCAGAGUGCCCCACUUGGGGAUCCAUCCCAUAUACAACCACCAAAUGCAGACACUAUUGAGGAUGCCAAGAGGUGCUUGCUGAUAGGAGCCUGAUAUAGCUGUCUCUUGAUAGGCUCUGCCAGAGCCUGACAAAUACAGAGGCGGAUGCUCACAGCCAUCCAUUGGACUGAGCAGGGAGACCCCGAUGGAGGAAUUAGGGGAAGGACUGAAGGAGCUGAAGGGGUUUGCAGCCCCAUAGGAAGAACAACAAUAUCAACCAGCCAGACCCGCCCCCCCCCAAAAGCUCCCAGGGACUAAACCACCAACCAAGGAGUACACGUGGAGGGACCCAUGGCUCCAGUCACAUAUGUAGCAGAGAAUGGCCUUGUCUGGCAUCAAUGGGAGGAGAGGUCCUUGGUCCUGUGAAGGCUCGCUGCCCCAGUGUAGGGGAAUGGCAGGGCGGAGAGGUGGGAGUGGGUGGGUGGAUGAACACCCUCAUAGAAGCAGGGGGAGGGAGGAUGGGAAAGGGGGUUUCCAGAGAGGAAACUGGGAAAGGGGAUAACACUUGAAAUGCAAAUUAAAAAAUAAUACCCAAUUUAAAAAAAGGAAGGAAGAGAAAGAAAGAAGAACGGAAAGAAGGGGAGAAAGGGAGGGAGGGAGGGAGAGAGAGAGAGAGAGAGAGAGAGAGAGAGAGAGAGAGAGAGAGAGAGAGAGAGAGAGAGAGAGAGAGAGAGAGAGAGAGAGAGAGAGAGGUGGGGUCCCUAUAGUUGGAAAAGCCAGCUUCUCUCUCAGUUCCAUGCCCCUUGUCCCUGGCCUUGGUCCUGCCUGUUCCUGUAUCAGCACUGUUGGUUCAGCUUUCAGGCUCUAAGAAGAACCUGAAAGAAAACACCUGGGGAAAGAAAACAGAAUUAAACAACUCGAGCGCCCAUCAGUCCUUAAGGAUCAGUUAAACCAUAGCAACUGUGCCCACUCUCAGUCGCUUCUGGUUCCCAGGAUGCCUUGGGCUGCUGGGUUGUAUUUCUCAGGGAUUAUUGCUGCUUCCCUGAUUCUGAUUCUCUGCCUCCCUAUGUAGCCCUGGUCCUGUGGCUUGCAGGCUCUGGUUAGUUAACCCGGCUCCUCUGCCAGCUGGAUUCGCCCUCCGUGCUCAGAAAAUGUCUGCCGGGAAAGCAGGGCCACGGACAUGCUCUUUGCUCGCCAGAAAGCUCCUGACUCAGCGUUUUCCCUCUGGUACUAGCAGAGCCCUCCGGGACAAGAAGGGCACGAACGGGGCCAGUGCUGCGUGGUAGCCAGUGACCUGCAGAUCUGUUUGCUUCUGUUCCCUUUGGCCUGCAGACUGAUGAACAGGGUACAGCCUGCACUCUGAGCCCUUAAAGAGGAUGUUGAGUGGGCCUCGGGAACUAGUCACCCAAUGGAGAUCAAGCUGCCGUUCCCAUGGUGAUUCCACACUGAGCCCUGUGCCCUGGGAACUCACCUCCUCCCAUUCACUGUAACCUCCAUUAAGCAGAAACAAAAGAUUAAUACGGCAGAAGCCAUUUAAUGAACUCAGAGCUGGCAGCGGCUUUUUUCCAGAGCGGAUUCCUGGAACAGCAAUGCAGAGGCUUCCCCGCCUCUUCCAGGACAGCAAGGGCGUUCAGCUGUCUGAUCUCUCUGGGCUGUCAGACAUCCAUGCAGCAAAUGGGCCCAGGCAAUCUCGUGGGUGUGGGGAAGACCCCUUACCUCUUUGUCUUUAUUCAGGUCAUUCUCUCACCUCACCAGAAAGGGAGGAGAAGAGGGUCUCAGAAUCACCUUGAAGAGUCUCUAUGAGGAACUUUCUAGAUCAUGCUGACCUGUGGGCAUGUCUUGGGGAGAAGAUUUUUCUAUUCUAUCAAAAUAGAAGAUCUGUCGGUGGCACCAUUCUUAAAUAGGGGAUGCUGGACCAUUUAAGAAGAGAAGAAGUGAGCUGAAGAGUGAGGAUAUAUGCCUUCAUAUCCAUGCUCCUGAUUCUGAAUGUAAUAUGCCUAGCAUAAGUUUCUGUUGCCUUGACUUCUCCCAUGAUGGACUGUAUUAUCUCAGAAUUAGGAACCAAA
rnacentral:lncRNA from 1 species